rnacentral:rRNA from 1 species
UAGUAAUCGCGGAUCAGCAUGCCGCGGUGAAUACGUUCCCGGGCCUUGUACACACCGCCCGUCACACCAUGGGAGUCGGUAACACCCGAAGCCUGUAGUCUAACCGUGAGGAGGACGCAGUCGAAGGUGGGAUUGAUGACUGGGGUGAAGUCGUAACAAGGUAUC